GCGCGGCGCGGCCGCAGCACGGUACCGGCACGGGCACAGGCACGGCGCGGCGGAGGAGGAGGAGGAGGAGGAGGAGGGAUGCUCCCUCAGCUGCUCCUGCCCCCGGGAUGCCGACCCCCGCAACCCCCCGGAAAGCCUUCCAAUCAGAUGUUCCAGCCCGUGCCUCAGCACCCAGAUUUUGCCCGUUGAUCAUUCCGAUCGCGUGCCUUGGCUCGCUCGCACGCUCCGUUCCUUGGAUACAGACAGCUGCAUCCAACACAUUUGUCAGCAGCUCCAGCUCCAGGAGGGCUUCACUCAGGGCAAAGUGGAGCCUCUGCAGGGCACCACUGCCCGGAGCCAGAGGAUUCCUGUGGUGGGACUGGCGGAGGUGGACACUGGCAGGGAGCUGACGAUCAGCAAGGCAGCUCUUCUUGUCCUUCAGAAGGACAGUGGUGCCCAGGCCCCGAGAUGUGUCACCAGAAAGAGGGCACAGGGUGCAAUGCUCCCCACAGGAUGGUGUAUCGCAGUCUCCAGCCCUCCAGUGAGAGACUCCUCCAUCCCAGGGAUUCUCUCUGGACUGGAUUUCGCUGCCAGCCACUCUGAUGUUUCUCCCUCUCUCUCUCCCUUCUCUCCACACAACCUCCUUACACCCCCCUGUGUAUUAAAUAACAAUUGCAGUCGUACCAGGGCAGCAGGUAUGUCUGUGCACCUCUCAAUUCCCUUCACAGGUGAAGUCCUCUCCCGCUUUUGCCAGUUUUGUGUGUUUUCAUGUACAAAUAUGCUGAGUGGGUGUAUGCCUUAUUACAUGUGUAGGAAACACGGAGAAUGAGGACUUGAGGUGCCACCACAAUAAUAGAGAGGGACAAGGCUCUUUGGCUGGCUUUGCCCUUGACUCCCUUUUAAAUAUAAUUUGCCAUUGUUAGACAAGAUGACUCUCCAAAUGACUUCUGAGAUCCAGGGGACCAUUUCUGCAGCAACAAGUUACUGCUUGCAGGCAGCCUGGGGCAGGAAAAUGCCCUCGAUAUUACAGAAAUGGUAACUUGUUUAAUAGAUCCAAAUAAACAGGAAAGCCCAGGAGCUCAGGUGACAGCAUCUGAGCCCUGUACUGAGAGGUGCACAGACCUUACGGCAGGGCUAAAUACAUUCCUCACAAACCAGAACAACAGAGCUUUUACUGAGAAGAUAAUCAAGCCUUGGAAGAAACUACACAAUAUAAAGCUCAGAUUUAAAAUAAAUGUGAAAUGAGUUGGUGGAUUCGGGACGAGUUCCUUAUGGAAAAGUUCUCACAUCAGAAGAAAAUCGCUUGAUGAAAUGGGCUCUUUAAUUAGCGGUUUCAGCAAGAAGCCAGGAGGAUUGCAGGGGGUCUGUCAUCCCUCACCUUUCCAUCUGGGCCUUUGCAAGAAGAGCUGGGAUCAGGGGAGGAGUGGACCAUCCCAAGCUGCUGCAUGUAAGGGGCUGAAGAGGAGCCCUGUUUGUUCUCCUUGCGCAUUCCCAAGAACAUCCUGCACCCUCCAAACCCUGCACCCAGGACAGCAGGGGCUGAAUCCAGGAAAUCCACAGCCUGGGGCUGGGCACAGGACAGGUGUCUGUGGCUCCCUGCACCCACCAGUGGCCAGGCUGCAGCCACCUGGGACUGUCCGAACCAGCUUCCACAGAUCCUGAAUGCAACAUCCCAGCUAGGGAGCCUGGAUCCCAGGGCACACUGCCAUGAACUCACCCAGCUCUCCUUCAGCCAGCUAAAGGGAUGCAAAUCAAAAAAUAAGACCAAGUUGGUUUUCCUUUUCCUCCCUCAUUCAUUCCUCGCUUCGUCUCACACUGUAAUCUUGUGGUUUUGCAAUUAAAUUGUGUCUUUAUGUCUCCUU